rnacentral:rRNA from 1 species
AACGUAGGAGACAAACGUUAUCCGGAGUUACUGGGCGUAAAGGGCGUGUAGGUGGUAGUGUAAGUCUGGCGUGAAAUUUUUCGGCUUAACCGGGAAAGGUCGUCGGAUACUGCACAACUAGAGGACGGUAGAGGCGUGUGGAAUUCCGGGUGUAGUGGUGAAAUGCGUAGAGAUCCGGAGGAACACCAGUGGCGAAGGCGACACGCUGGGCCGUACCUGACACUGAUGCGCGACAGCAUGGGGAGC